CGAAAAUUAUUUCCGAUUUCAAAGGGAUUUUAUUUAUUACGGUACAGGGGGUUGAACUUGGGGUGCUCUACCACUAAGUUACAUCCCCAUUCCCCUCCCUUUUUUUUGAGACAGGGUCUCACUGAGUUGCCUGACCUGGCCUUGAACUUGGAUUCCUCCCGCCUCAGCCUCUCAGUAGGUGAAGUUACAGGCAUGAGUCGUCUCACCCAGCUUCAAAGAGAUUUUAGAGGGAAGAUAACUGCUGUUUUAGAACCUGCUAUGUGCCAACCACGCUAUCAGUGAGCCACUUCCCUUCACCACACUCUUCUGCCAUGAUGUUCUGCCUCACCUCGAGCCCUGAGGAAUGGAGCCAGCUGUCUAUGGGCUAAGACAUCUGAAACCGACAGUUGCUCUUACCUGCUGCUUGAGUGCCUCCAAGGACUCAAAUUCCAAUCUGGCCAGUUUCAUCUGGAUAUGUCGUGGUUUAUCAGGUAUGGCAAAUGCAAGUAUAAACUUUAAAGCCAGGAGUGCAU